rnacentral:tRNA from 1 species
GCUUUCCUAGCUCAAUUUGGUCANAGCGUCCGUACUACGUUUGUAAAUGCCAUCGGAAGGCUGUGGGUUCGAGUCCCACGGAUCGCG